AAUAAGAUUGCGUGUUCUAGUAUAUAACUGAAUAUCAUGCUCUGAUUGUUUGCUUAUGCUUUUUUUUUUUUUCUUCAAGGGGUCAGCCAACAAGGCUUUCCCCAUUUGUUUUCAGGUUUUAGCAAUCCAGAAAAGUCACCCAUAAGCAGCAUCCUUGCAAUGGGACCGUCGGCUGCAGUGAGAAUAACGCCUGUUCCAGAGGAAGGCACUGGGAACAGAAGACACCCUGUACUAGUACAUUAAACAUACAGAAAAUUCUCCCAUUCAGGUGAUCACAUACAACCUUUUGCAACCGAUACAAGUUAAGAAAGGGAGAACUCCAAGUGCAGAUCAUCUAACCCUCAAUAAUCCCAGACAUUGGUUAUUUAUUGGAAGCAGUUCCCUCUGAAAACUGAAAUGCUAGGAAUUACGGUGGAUUGGUAACAAAAAAUGAAGCACUCACCAAAGGCUGUUCAGGGCUGGAGCUCAAGCCAGUCAGAAGCGCACACUGUACCAGCAUCAACUGCAGCCUGAUCAUUUUCAUCUGGCCACGUGGGACAGUAAAUGGCCAUUCUCUCCUGCCUUGUGCGCUCACCAGGUAUCUGGUGGUGAUUGGCAGAACACCUUAGGGCUCUUUGGUAUGUGACCACAAAUAAUUUUGUCGUUUUUACUUGAUAACUUUAUUCCUACUGUUG
rnacentral:lncRNA from 1 species